GGGGCGGCCGAUGGCAGAUUAGCUAGUUGGUGGGGUAAAGGCCUACCAAGGGCGACGAUCUGUAGCUGGUCUGAGAGGACGACCAGCCACACUGGGACUGAGACACGGCCCAGACUCUACGGGAGGCAGCAGUGGGGAAUUUUGGACAAUGGGCGCAAGCCUGAUCCAGCAAUGCCGCGUGUGUGAAGAAGGCCUUCGGGUUGUAAAGCACUUUUGUCCGGAAAGAAAACCUCCGCCCUAAUAUGGUGGGGGGAUGACGGUACCGGAAGAAUAAGCACCGGCUAACUACGUGCCAGCAGCCGCGGUAAUACGUAGGGUGCAAGCGUUAAUCGGAAUUACUGGGCGUAAAGCGUGCGCAGGCGGUCCGCUAAGACAGAUGUGAAAUCCCCGGGCUUAACCUGGGAACUGCAUUUGUGACUGGCGGGCUAGAGUAUGGCAGAGGGGGGUAGAAUUCCACGUGUAGCAGUGAAAUGCGUAGAGAUGUGGAGGAAUACCGAUGGCGAAGGCAGCCCCCUGGGCCAAUACUGACGCUCAUGCACGAAAGCGUGGGGAGCAAACAGGAUUAGAUACCCUGGUAGUCCACGCCCUAAACGAUGUCAACUAGUUGUCGGGUCUUCAUUGACUUGGUAACGUAGCUAACGCGUGAAGUUGACCGCCUGGGGAGUACGGUCGCAAGAUUAAAACUCAAAGGAAUUGACGGGGACCCGCACAAGCGGUGGAUGAUGUGGAUUAAUUCGAUGCAACGCGAAAAACCUUACCUACCCUUGACAUGUAUGGA
rnacentral:rRNA from 1 species